rnacentral:rRNA from 1 species
UACGGAGGGGGCUAGCGUUGUUCGGAAUUACUGGGCGUAAAGCGCACGCAGGCGGCUUUGUAAGUUAGAGGUGAAAGCCCAGGGCUUAACCCUGGAAUUGCCUUUAAGACUGCAUCGCUAGAAUCGUGGAGAGGUGAGUGGAAUUCCGAGUGUAGAGGUGAAAUUCGUAGAUAUUCGGAAGAACACCAGUGGCGAAGGCGGUUCUCGGGGCAUGUCCUGACGCUGAGGAGCGAAAGUGUGGGGAGCGAACAGG